rnacentral:rRNA from 1 species
AUACGGAGGGUGCAAGCGUUGUUCGGAAUUAUUGGGCGUAAAGCGCGUGUAGGCGGCUUGGUAAGUCGGGCGUGAAAUCCCGGGGCUCAACCCCGGAACUGCACUCGAAACUGCCUGGCUAGAGUCCCGGAGAGGAAGGCGGAAUUCCCGGUGUAGAGGUGAAAUUCGUAGAUAUCAGGAAGAACACCUGUGGCGAAGGCGGCUAGCUGGGCCGGAUCUGACGCUGAUCCGCGAAAGCGUGGGGAGCAAACAGUAUUAGAAACCCCAGUAGUCC